CUCUACAACUUGCGCUAGCGCUGAGCUGCCAGCACCUCGUGGGCUGCCGUCACGAGCUGUGGCCCCUGGGAAACAGGGGGAGGAAAUGCUUCGGAAAGGCGGAACGUGUCCCGCGCAUGGGGGGAAACAACCCGGCUUUCCCUCAUCUCCAGGGUCCGCAAGAGACGACAGUGAAGGAAGAGGAGAAAGAGGCAUUUCAGGAAGGUCCGAGGGACAGUGUACCUGUUGCUGCUGAAGAACAAACUGGAGCACAACGUGCACCAGUGACACUGCUGACAAAUCUUUCCGAACCACUCUACAUAGAUGGCCUCAUCAUAGGUCCGAUUUAUAAAACC
rnacentral:lncRNA from 1 species